rnacentral:rRNA from 1 species
GAGGAAUAUUGGUCAAUGGGCGGAAGCCUGAACCAGCCAUGCCGCGUGCAGGAAGGAGGCCCUACGGGUUGUAAACUGCUUUUACCCGGGAAGAAACCGCCCCCUGUGGGGGGCGUUGCCGGUACCGGGGGAAAAAGGAUCGGCUAACUCCGUGCCAGCAGCCGCGGUAAUACGGAGGAUCCGGGCGUUAUCCGGAAUUACUGGGUUUAAAGGGUGCGUAGGCGGGGCUUUAAGCCGGCGGUGAAAGGCAGCGGCUCAACCGCUGGAAUGCCGUUGGGACUGGGGCUCUUGGAUACGGUCGGGGCGGGUGGAACUCGUGGUGUAGCGGUGAAAUGCAUAGAUAUCACGAGGAACGCCGGUAGCGAAGGCAGCUCGCCGGGCCGGUAUUGACGCUGAGGCACGAAAGCGUGGGGAUCGAAC